UACGAAGGGGGCUAGCGUUGCUCGGAAUCACUGGGCGUAAAGCGCACGUAGGCGGCUUUCUAAGUCAGGGGUGAAAUCCUGGAGCUCAACUCCAGUACUGCCUUUGAUACUGGAGAGCUUGAGUCCGGAAGAGGUGAGUGGAACUCCGAGUGUAGAGGUGAAAUUCGUAGAUAUUCGGAAGAACACCAGUGGCGAAGGCGGCUCACUGGUCCGGUACUGACGCUGAGGUGCGAAAGCGUGGGGAGCAAACAGG
rnacentral:rRNA from 1 species